ACGCUCGACACCUACGGAGGCAGCAGUGGGGAAUAUUGCACAAUGGGGGAAACCCUGAUGCAGCGACGCCGCGUGAGUGAAGAAGUAUUUCGGUAUGUAAAGCUCUAUCAGCAGGGAAGAAGAUGACGGUACCUGAGUAAGAAGCCCCGGCUAACUACGUACCAGCAGCCGCGGUAAUCUGAGCGGGCUGGCAAGGC
rnacentral:rRNA from 1 species